rnacentral:RNase_MRP_RNA from 2 species
UCCGCGUUCAAAGGAUCGCAUUUCAAAGCUUACGCACAUCAGAGGACAGCUUCUGUCUUCUGCACACCCUCGAUGCUUUCUCUUCUCUGAUGGAGAGAAAGCCAGCUUUGGGAGAAAGUCCCCGGACCACCCUACCCUUGAGACGAGAGUCUCGAGGAACGUUAGGACCUGCCGAAAGGCGCCGCCAUAAAAGCAUUUUCACUGCGGCUCUCAAUUCUUUUCUCUGCCUCCCGCUCUCCUCCACAGACCCUAUCCUGCCGCACUCCGACCUCAUCGUCGCCUGUACUCCGUGCAGGUCCCCGAUCUGUUGUCCCAUGCUCGAAAGCCGAUGGGCGUCUGGAUGGAUGAAGAUACGAGUCCGUCCCUCGGGUUUCGGCUAGACGCUCUGACGUGGAUGGCUGGGACUUGGUCGUGGCGAUCUGCCGGAAGAGAGGGUGAGGGUUUUGACACUGGGAGUCGGGUUCAGGGUAGUGCGUCUUGGAGGGUCCAAGAGUCGAAUCUAUCUGGAGGUUGCGCAAUUCGUCACAUGCACAUAGUUAUGCGAUUGCUCGCGCCCGCGCACUUUCUGCUUCCUUGCUUCGGUGGGGAAGGAGAAGCUGCUGCUGCUGCUGCCGAGUAACUCGACGGGGCUUAUUCUUGAGGCGCGG